AUGUGGAUGUGUAUGCAUGAGAAAAAAUAUAUAGGCUACAGCAAAUGUAUUAGUCUACACAGAUGUAAAAUGAAUAGUUUCGUCUUUUUAACACAGUAUAUUGGAUUGUUGUCAUAUGCUGUCUCUUGUCAUCUUGUAUAAGGAUGAUUCUUGUCCAACUUUCGCUUUCGUUACCUUCGAAUCAAAACCAGUCGAUCAGGUUGAACUGUGCAGUACAGAGGUCGAAAGCUCACACUUUACACAGCUCUCGCUUUUCGGGACAUCCACAAUCCACCAAUUUGUCAACCAGUGCUGAUGAAGAUAUGGAGGAUGUAAGUCAGGAUUCUAAUGCUCCGGUGAGUCGCAUCAAGUGAAAUAUGUAUACAGUAUACAUGUAUGUGUGUGUGUGUGUGUUUUAUGUGUCAGUCUGACCCAGUCUCAUGAGAAAAAUAAACUAUUUUAAGAGUUAGAAAUUUUUAUGUCUUUAUGGAAAAAUGACUUUUUUGUGACUUUUAUUGUAUGAUUUUUAGAAAAAGAAUUAAGCUCUUCCCCUAAACUCAACAGUCACUGGGGCAUAAGCAGAUUGUAUGAAAGCAUAAAUUAAUAUUGUAAUAUACAACAAUAUUGUAGGAAUUCAUACGAAUUAGCCACUAAUUCACCAAAGCAUAAUAACUUUACAAACUACUGUGAGAUUGUGUUAGUGUGUCAGCAGUCUGCCAUCAGAUUAAAAGUAUGGUGUAUUGCAGACAUGCACAUUAUCUGUGUGAUUCCAAAGAUUUCUCAUCUUGCUGUUGAAUGACUUGUUCACUUAUUUGUUCACUUAUUCACAGCAAGCAAUUAGUGAUAGUAUUUAGUACAACUGAAAUACACAGUUUCACUUCUAACCCAUAUUUUAUUAAAAUUGAGCGUAGGCGUCAGUUCUGGCAGGCCAGGUAGUCAAGACGCUGCAAAUGCUAUUUGCUAACAACACUGUCCCAUCAGCUGAUCUGCUUCAGCUGAGCUGCAUUAGCUGGUUAACUCCCUCGCUGCUCAAUGGCCAAAGCUAAAACAGGCGACCCUAUUUAAACACUAUUCAGUUUGCUCAUACAGGCUGCUGCUUGUGCUUCCCGCCACCUCCCCAGCUCCUCCUUAUGCAUAACGUGGCAUUUGCUUUGUCAUGUUGCCUGCUCUGUUCACAGGGGGGAUAUUUUAGCUCCCACAGUCCUAAAUUGUGUGAGCAUUCCCUAAUGCUGCUGCUGAAAUUUCAAUUCAGGAACAUCAACUUGUUUGCAAUUUAUUCAAUAAAAAUUCUUAAAUUAUUUUUAUUGUCUGUGUGUUUUUGACUUAAUGGACCUGACAGAAAUAUAUUAAAGGAAAUAAUUAUUAGCCAAUAGUCAUUAAACAACUUACCAGCUUCAGUGGACAAAACCUUUCCAAGAUGGGACAUGAUUAUUAGAUCGUAUUGAUAUACAUUUGCCCAUUUAGUUUCUAUUGAAAUGAACCAGAGACAGAGCUGGGGUUUUUAGAGACUGAGUGUUAAUUUAUGAAUUCCUUCCUUGUUUGGUGGCAUUGGCCACUGAAAGCAUUUUGAAUAGAUCUGGUCUAGAAUGAUUAUGAGAAAUAAUAACCACAAUGAAUCUGUAAAUAGUGAAUGCAAAUAAUGUUAUCAAACAAUUUUUUAUCAUGUUGGUCACCAAAUAAUUAUAUUUUAGCCAUGGGCUAAAACAGUUAAUGCUCAUGACUGAUAUAACAGUCGAUACUGAAUAUUGAUAUAUAUUGCCUUCAGUGUCAUACACAGUUGGCAAAGACUAGUGUGAGUAAAAACAAUCCCAUAAGACUGACAUAUUUAUUUUACUUUUAAUUAAAUGUACAAAAUUAAAUUCAAAAGGUGUAUUGCAGACAUUAGCUAUGUGAUUCCAAUGGUGUCUCAUCCUGUUGCUGAAUUGCUUGUACCCAGAGCAAGCAAUAAUUGAUUGUGUUUAUAUUACAAUAGGGAGCAUUCUUCCUAAGUCAGCAGGCCCUACAUUCAUCAAGCAGUGCUGAUCCUCAUUUGAUACAAGACAACAUUCAAUCUUCUAAUGCUCAGGUGAGUACCAGUAGCAGAAGUUUACCGUAAUCCCACAAUGCACCGCAGAAACCAGGGAGCAUCGACAUUCACAAUUCUUCCUUACCGGAAAUUACAUCAUAUUUCUGAAGUGCGAAACAUAAACCACACAAGCCAACUGGAUAAAUAUAAUGACACACAAUAGAAGAUUUGAAAAGACAAACUGUUUUAUUAGUAUAUUUCAUCAUAAACACAUCGCUAGACAGGUAAUGAACACAUCUAGUUAACAUUUAUAAUUAAAAUUUGGUUGAAAUGUUUUAAGGACAUGUAACAGAACAAUGUGUUUAAUGAGAAUAAUACAAAAUAUUGAAAAGAUAUUGGUCCUGCCUGUUGUUUAUUAAUUCCAGCGGUGACAUUCUACUGUGUUGUCUGUUGACGUUGUACGUAGCCAUGCCACCGAUUAUUAAUCACUGUCCCAAUGUGCAGUGACAGUGAGCCAGGGAACUUACCAGUGACCGGAUGUACACGAUAUACUGAUUUACAAGGUCAGGAGCUAGGGAGCUGAUUGAGACGCACUCUAUGCUAAUAGGGCAGAUUGUCACCAGUCGUGGGCAGGGCUUACAUAAUAGUAGGGGGGAACUGCUCGUUUGGAGAGACUGAUUUAUGGGGAGUAAUAUUCUCUCUCUCUCUCUCUCUCUCUCUCUCUCUCUCUCUCUCUCUCUCUCUC
rnacentral:lncRNA from 1 species